rnacentral:sRNA from 1 species
AUGCAGAGAGAUUUUCUCUGGAAACAACCCGCCCAUGGAGAAGAUCCUAUAACUUUGGGGCUCGUGAACAAGACGAAACCGCAGGUGAAGAUAAGGCAACGCAUCCUCAAUCUCGCCUAUCAGACUUACCUAGAAUCGAAACAGGCGCUCUUCGUGGUGGGAUCGUUGAACUUGAACGCGAGCCAUGAAGGACUCUCGGUUGAAAUUAACUCGGUCAGAGGAAAGCCCCAGCCCGGAGCUCAGUCGGAUUUCCUGGCGCAAUGCAGGUUCUGUCGCCUGGUCGAAGCCCGAGACCCGAAUCAAACGGUCCUGGACCUCGUCGACGACGUAAAAACCAAGCAGUAUUCUCGCCACGAAUUCUCGGAGAAAUCCUUGACCGAUUUCUUCUCUCUGGACAUACACGGAAAACUCGAAGGUCCGAACUGUACCCUCGAUCUGAGCAUGGUUUGUUUCGAGAGACGCUUGAAAGCUCAGAAAAUUAGAGAGAUACCCGUGACAAACAACAGUGUUCAUAAGAUGGUCCAGCAAAACCCUAAAGGGCUCACAUGGGGUUGGAUCCACACUUCGAAAGGGAGUUUCCACUUAUUGGUGAAAGACGAUCUCCGACAAGACUGCACCGGAAUAUGGGUGUCCGGAUAUAACUCGAUCCACAGUCCUCUUGUGUGGCUUAUAUGUCAGCAUUUCCUGAAUUCCGUGGAUCGCUCUGAUAUUUUUGUUCUGGUCCACUUCGACGGCAGGGGUGAUGCUCAUUUCUAUAACGUGACCCCUCACGAGGAUAUAAUGCGAACAGUGGUAUUCAGCGGCUUAGAAAAGACUACGGUAACACGUGUAUUCGCGGCACGGGACACACUCAUUGACAUUCCCUUGACCCUGUGUUAUGUCGAUGAUGGAGAUUUCACCAUGGACGUGACGAGAGGAAACACAGUAGUCGACGAAAUUUGUAAGGAGGCUGAGCAAGAAAGCUACCGAUUGAAAACUCGUGAAGGGUUACCGCAACUGAUCUCCCCACGUCGAACCCAUCAGUUCACGCCGGCAACGAUAGGUGUUAACAAAGUGGUCCCUAAACGAAUAACGAUGUCCCCGAUCUCACCACCAUGUUCGAGCUCCACCCCCGUGGAAAGAGUUCUACACCAACGUAGGUCAGUCACCCUGGACGGAACCAUAUGCUUCAUCCGAAGUCCGAUUCAUCCCGGCGACCAGGUGUGGACAAAUCAGUCAUGAGGUUUUUUGCUUUCACCAACCUUUCGCAGGUCUGAUCCCUUGGAUUUGAGAGAUAGGAGCUCGGCGUCUGUAUCGCCCGAAGUAAUGGAUCGCCUCAAGCAACAGGAGAAGGAAAUUUCAUUCCUCAAGGGACAGAUAGAAAUUCUGAUGUCAAAACUAAACGAGAGCGUUCCAUCUGUUGACUCUCGACGGCUUUCCCGAUCUCCAGAAAAACCGAGUUCUCAGUCGAACUCGCAGGGAGGACCCCAGCUGGGCGAUUUAUCUUUGCCAAGGCUUGCCGAAAUGAAUUUCGCGCUGAUGCGGCCUUACGUGCCGGAAACACUGAUUGAAGGUGAAAGGAGGAGAGACCUCCGUUCAGAAGCCGCUGACCGAGCCCAAGGGCCUAGUGACCGAUACUACAGUGAGGUGAAACGGGGGAUUUUAAAAGUCUUGAAUGAUAAUAAUGCUCGGGAUACUGAUCGGGACGAUACGUCGGAGAGUUUCGUCUGGCCUCGCUUGGGGGACUCAGUGCCGAAAACGAAGGAUCUCAUCGAUGGAAGACUUGGAGAGUCGGACAGCAUCCUACGACCUAGGCUACAAUACCAAUCGUUGGUUUUGAGCGGGUCAAAUCAGCCAUCGAUCUGCGUCAAUGAAGUGACGCGGAAAUAUUUCGGCAAAAGUCCUCAACUGCCGAAAUCGACCAAACUACUCGGGAAAACCCCUCCGGAUGGUGGAAUGCUUCGUCGAGUUCUCACUGCGGAGGCGUCGAAGCAAGUGCUUUUCGCGGAUUCCGGAGGCCAGAUGAAAACGGCGCACACUGAAAACCCAAGGUUCCUCGACGUCGACGCCCUAAAGAAGCAGCCGAAGUUUUUGUGA